rnacentral:rRNA from 1 species
UACGGAGGGGACUAGCGUUGUUCGGAAUUACUGGGCGUAAAGCGCACGUAGGCGGAUUUGUAAGUCAGGGGUGAAAUCCCGGGGCUCAACCUCGGAACUGCCUUUGAUACUGCAAAUCUCGAGUCCGGAAGAGGUGAGUGGAAUUCCUAGUGUAGAGGUGAAAUUCGUAGAUAUUAAGGAAGAACACCAGUGGCGAAGGCGGCUCACUGGUCCGGUAUGACGCUGAGGUGCGAAAGCGUGGGGAGCAAACAGG